rnacentral:tRNA from 1 species
GCGCCCGUAGCUCAACGGAUAGAGCAUCUGACUACGGAUCAGAAGGUUAGGAGUUCGAAUCUCUUCGGGCGCACC